rnacentral:rRNA from 1 species
GCGGCGUGCCUAACACAUGCAAGUCGAACGGGAAGCUAUAGCGGAAGUUUUCGGAUGGAAGCAAUAGCUUCUAGUGGCGGACGGGUGAGUAACGCGUGGGCAACCAACCCUGUACAGGGGGAUAACACCGGGAAACCGGUGCUAAUACCGCAUAAAGCCGGUAAAGCGCAUGCUUUAUUGGUGAAAACCGAGGUGGUACAGGACGGGCCCGCGUCCCAUUAGCUAGUUGGUGAGAUAACAGCCCACCAAGGCGACGAUGGGUAGCCGACCUGAGAGGGUGACCGGCCACACUGGGACUGAGACACGGCCCAGACUCCUACGGGAGGCAGCAGUGGGGAAUAUUGCGCAAUGGGGGAAACCCUGACGCAGCGACGCCGCGUGAGCGAAGAAAGCCUUCGGGUCGUAAAGCUCUGUCUUGGGGGACGAAAAAGAUGACGGUACCCC